rnacentral:rRNA from 1 species
UACGUAGGAGGCAAGCGUUGUCCGGAUUUACUGGGCGUAAAGCGCGCGCAGGCGGCAUGGCAAGUAAGGUGUGAAAUCUCCCUGCCUAACGGGGAGGGUGCAUUUUAGACUGCCAAGCUAGAGGACGGUAGAGGGGGGUAGAAUUGCUGGUGUAGCGGUGAAAUGCGCAGAUAUCAGGAAGAACACCCGUGGCGAAGGCGGCUCUCUGGGACGGUACUGACGCUGAGACGCGAAAGCGUGGGGAGCGAACAGG